UACGGGGGGGGCAAGCGUUGUUCGGAAUUACUGGGCGUAAAGGGCUCGUAGGUGGCCAACUAAGUCGGACGUGAAAUCCCUCAGCUUAACUGGGGAACUGCGUCCGAUACUGGAUGGCUCGAGUUUGGGAGAGGGAUGCGGAAUUCCAGGUGUAGCAGUGAAAUGCGUAGAUAUCUGGAGGAACACCGGUGGCGAAGGCGGCAUCCUGGACCAACACUGACACUGAGGAGCGAAAGCCAGGGGAGCAAACGGG
rnacentral:rRNA from 1 species